GGCCCCUUCGUCUAGCGGUUAGGACACCACCCUUUCACGGUGGCAACACGGGUUCAAGUCCCGUAGGGGUCACCA
rnacentral:tRNA from 3 species